ACCCCACCCCAAUGGCUGCUUCUCGGUGGGUCCCCAAGGAGCCAGGAGGGGAAAGACCCUCGGAGGGUUUGCAGGGCCUCUGAAGAGUUGCAGAAGAAACCCUCAGAAGGGGAAGGUGGACUUGGAAGAAGAUGGGGAGGGAAAGAAGAACAAAAAACACGCCUGCAAGAGGUGUUUUUUGUUUUUUAAAGGUUGCAAAGUGGGAUGGAGGUGGGACCUAACAUGGGUGAAGCUGUCCUUCAACGAUGCCUUCUUUAGGUUGGAAUGCGUAGAACCAAAUGUGGAACCUUUCAGCACAUGUGGUGGACUCGUGAAACCAGGAGGAAGGACUGAUCGAUGAUUUUUUUACAGAGCUUUCGGAAAUGAUGGGUUGGGCUUAAAAGCAGGUGACUCCUGUCUCGGGCGUCUCCUCCGACGGAUCUUCUUCUGCCAUGAGAUGCCCCUCAGGGUUUGUGGCCCUUGUUCUUCUAACCAUCAUCAUCCUCAGCUAUACUCUCCAGAGAGUUGAGAUCAAGGGUGUUUUUAAUGGAGAUGACUGCAAAAUGAUUAACUCUGGCCAAACAGAAAUUGCACAAAGCUGGUCCGUGGGUGUGUUGUGACAGGGGAUGGCUACA